rnacentral:rRNA from 1 species
CUUGAAUAAAUAUAAGAGGUCCAGCCUGCCCAGUGACCAUGUUCAACGGCCGCGGUAUCCUAACCGUGCGAAGGUAGCGUAAUCACUUGUUCUUUAAAUAAGGACUGGUAUGAACGGCACCACGAAGGUUGCACUGUCUCCUUUUUCUAAUCAGUGAAACUAAUCUCCCCGUGAAGAAGCGGGGAUAAUAACAUAAGACGAGAAGACCCUAUGGAGCUUUAAACUAUAAGGCAAUUGCCCCAUUCAAUCAAAUUUCAGAAAAUUUCCACUACCAAAGCAAUUUUGACCCCUAGUUUUAGGUUGGGGUGACCGCGGAGCAAAAAACAACCUCCACAUUGAAAGGAACCCACUCCUUAGCCGAGAGCCACACCUCUACGCACCAACAAAAAGACAUCAAUUGACCCAAUAUUUUGAUCAACGAAC